AGACCUAUGGCACCAAGUCUCUUUGGAAGGUGACUAUUCUCUGCCAAUACUCAGUACCAUGAUUGUUCUUCCUCGGUGGUCCUUAUGACAUCUAACCCUGAUUUUGGCUGGCAACAAUCCAGGACUCAGGGGCACGUCCAUCUAUCAGCACUAAGGACUAUUAAGUCCCUGACAUGGAUCACAGGAACAAGGAUGAAUGAAACCAGCGAGAAUGAAGAUAAGCAUUUUUGUAAUAUGCUGAAAGGAAGUGCAAAU